AGAAAUCCCAGGCUUUCUAAGUCAGAUCUUGCCAAGGGUUUCCCUCUUCUGUUUUCCCUUUAUCCCCCAUCAGUGUUCCUAAACCUGAACCCCCAGACCCAGUUCUUGGGGAAGUGGCUGUCAUGGGCAGUGACUGUGCAAACCUGAUGUUGCAUCUCCUUCCUGGGCUGGCGGGAGUCCGAAUGGACCCUCUGAACCUGUGUCUAUCCUUGCAGGCAGAUUCCCCAGGCGACGGCUUCGAUGAAGGAUGGCAAAUGGGAGCGGAAGAAGUUCAUGGGAACAGAGCUGAAUGGAAAGACCCUGGGAAUUCUUGGCCUGGGCAGGAUUGGGAGAGAGGUAGCUACCCGGAUGCAGUCCUUUGGGAUGAAGGUAAGAUGUUGCUGGAACCCUGUGAUGUGGGACUUUCUGCAGCAAUUUUGGGAAAGGCAGCAUGUCUGGGCAGAAGCCAGAAGCUUUGUUCUAGGAAGGUCUGACCCUCUCUUGGAGCCCCCAUCUAAAUAAGCAUUAAAGCCAAGGAGGGAGAGAACACUGGCCUGCUGAUCUGGACUCAAAAGCUGGAAAUAUUUGGUGGGGGUCCUUUAGCUCUCUGGUGAGUGAAUAGCCCUGAGUCCCAGUGAACCAGGUGUUGAUGGCUGUUUUGAGAUCUUGGUUCUUGUCUUCUUAGUUUAAAAGAAUUUAAACAGGAGACACGG
rnacentral:sRNA from 1 species